rnacentral:sRNA from 1 species
UGCUGUUGGCUCCUUAGCUUCUCCAUGGCUAACAGGAACAAUAUUGUUUAUGAGAUAAUCAAAGCCAUAGUCAUGAGUUAGAAGGUACAUAUAAAGGCAAAUAUGUGGAGAUUGAGUUACUUUGGCGGGGGCGGAGGGGUGUGUAGUUAUCUGAAAACAUGGAACAAAUCAAUGAGAGUCUAAAUAGCACCCACAUAUUUGCCCCUCUUUUAAAACAUACCUCCUUUAUGAGUGUAGAAUUUAACAGCACAGUUUCCCAGUGCAGCUUUGCGAAACAAGAGAAAUGAAUUUUAAAGGCUGUCAGGUGCCUUUGCAAUCUGUGGCUUAGUAUUUGUGUAACAACAUUUGUGUUUUGCCAACAGAUGUACUGCUUAAAGUACCCAUGAGAAUGGCCUCUGUGGUUUUCUACUUUCUCGGAUGGAACCUUAGGAACUGAUUAUUGAGAAGAGGCUGAUACUGCCCACCUCAGCUCCCAGGCAGGCUUCAGGGCCUUGGUUACUACUCCUUUGGGCCCUCACUGACCCUUGCAGACGUCUUUUGCAACCUCUGUAGCCAGAAGGGACAACCGCUUUCUGGCAUGUUGCUCUUUCCCUAAUGGCUUUAUGAGCUUCUUGAACACCAAAGCAUGUGUGACUUCCUCACGCCUUCCCCUGUAUAGUAUAGCACCCCUAACUGUAUGUGUAAGGAGAAGGAGUGAGCAAUUGAUGGCGUCCCCCUGGAUCUCCAAGGGAAUGGGAAGGGGCAGGGUUUCUGGAUUCAGUCAUGUGGAAUCUGGUCGUUGGUGUCUAAAUGUGCCUGUUACUUGUGCCCAAUGUCCAGGUUCACCAGGAGGCUUAGCCUGCUCAUUUCCCUGCUAGUAGCUAUAUUUUGGGAGAGCAUUUUGUAUGCUCUAAUUGAACUUUGUGGGUCUCAGCAAUUUGAACAAUGUUUUGUUUUUCUUCUGGUCAGGUUACAAAGGAAAGAAAAGGAAUCUGGUGUUGUAGGAGGUGGUGUGUUGUGUAAUUACUUGUUUUUUUUUUUAAGUUUUUUUUAUAUUUUUGCAACAAGGCAAGUUUUCUUUGAAUAAAUAAUGCUGGGAGCUUAUCACAUAGAAGGCAUAUGUGUUGUACUCAGUACAUUCUGAAUUAUCUGGGUUUAUUUUUAUCUCUUGAAUUCACUUAUAAACAAUUCAAAGGCUGUUUUUUUAGCUAACAGAAAUAGGAAGAGAAUCUCAGAAUCUGUUUUGUCAUUUUUUCAAUGGGUUGACUUAUAGUGAUUAUGCUAACUCAGUGGAAAAGCAAUGUAGUGAGUAAACCCCACAUACGGCAUAUCAUGAACAUUUUGUUGCUUUUUUGGCUUCUGACCAUCUUCAUACCUUUUUUUGUGUUAAAAGUCUCCCCGUUGUGUAUAUCUUAGUAAGAGGCAGGUGGACCCUAGUUUCUACCUAAGAAAACCUGAAGCUGGGGUUGGGGGCCUGUGGUGUACUUCCUUCUCAUGCUGUCCAUGACCACUGCAGUGGCUUUGUAAGGAUCCAGGACCCAGGGCCCCUCAGUGGGUGUCUUCCAUUUCUCAAGAUUGCCUCUUGGUUGUGAGAUGACGGUUGCUGCUCUAGUCAUUGCAUCCACUCCUCCAGGUAGGAAGAAGGAGGUCAUAGGGGAAAGGCAAAAUGGCACUUGACAUCUUAACUUCUAGGCCCAUUCAAUAUUUCCAUUUCCAUCUUCACACCCAUCAUCUUGUCCUAGGGAACAAACAGCACCAGCAGCUCAGUAGCUAUAACAGCAGUUAUUUAUUUCUCACACAUGGGUCUGGGUCAGCUGCAAGAUGGGAUUCAGAUCUGUUCUCAAGCCUGUCGUUCCAGGACCCAGGAGGGAGAAGCAGCUGCCAGGGGAAGUCUCUUCGUAGGCGGAGGUCAGGAGUCCAAGAGGAGUGAGCAGAGUCACAGAAGCCUCUUAAAGCCUCUUCUUCCCCCAUCCCAUCAACACAUCUGCUGCCCAAGAACUCCUUUGUGAUUGAAUUUAACCAGAGUUGAUUUCUGUUGCUUGAAACUCAGGACCUUGAUGCAGUGUGCAGGGUCUGGGCAAGUCUAGACUUGAAUGCAAACAGUUCUUAUUGCUAACUUACCACUAGUCACCACUAAUGAACAAAGACUAUGAACAGGAAAUUCAUAAAAGAAGAGAUACAGAUGGCCAAUGAAGAUAGGAAAAGAGUUCUGCCUGCUGGUAAUCAAAGAGAUGCAAACGAAAACAAAAAUGAUGCCUUUUCACCUACCAAAUUUGUCAAGAUUAAAAAGAAAGCAAAGAGCCAGCGUCAGCUGAUGUUCAUACCUGCACCUGCUCAGUAGCUUGCUAAUGUUCUGCCUGCUCCACACGCCAGGCCAGCCUCCACGGCGCAGCCAGGGAAGAAAAGUCAGAAGACCAGGACCUCCAGGGCCUCAAGGACAAACCCCUCAAGUUUAAAAAGGUGAAGAAAGAUAAGAAAGAAGAGAAAGAGGGCAAGCAUGAGCCCGUGCAGCCAUCAGCCCACCACUCUGCUGAGCCCGCAGAGGCAGGCAAAGCAGAGACAUCAGAAGGGUCGGGCUCCGCCCCGGCUGUGCCGGAAGCUUCUGCCUCCCCCAAACAGCGGCGCUCCAUCAUCCGUGACCGGGGACCCAUGUAUGAUGACCCCACCCUGCCUGAAGGCUGGACACGGAAGCUUAAGCAAAGGAAAUCUGGCCGCUCUGCUGGGAAGUAUGAUGUGUAUUUGAUCAAUCCCCAGGGAAAAGCCUUUCGCUCUAAAGUGGAGUUGAUUGCGUACUUCGAAAAGGUAGGCGACACAUCCCUGGACCCUAAUGAUUUUGACUUCACGGUAACUGGGAGAGGGAGCCCCUCCCGGCGAGAGCAGAAACCACCUAAGAAGCCCAAAUCUCCCAAAGCUCCAGGAACUGGCAGAG